rnacentral:lncRNA from 1 species
CCUAGCCAUUGCUGCUGCAUCACUGGUUGCUGUAAAUACCACUGGAAAUCCCAUUUAUGAUCCCAUUGGUUCCAUUAUAGUGGGCAACCUUCUAGGAAUGGACCACUGGAAAUCCAAUUUAUGAUCCCAUUGGUUCCAUUAUAGUGGGCAACCUUCUAGGAAUGGUAUGUGAUGCUAAACCUUAAACCUGUACUGAAGUUCAAGCAUUGUAAUCUGUAUGUAUUUUUCAGUGUGUCAGCUGUCAGCAUACUAAAAAAUUAGAGUUCAAAUUGAUCUUUUAGUUGAAGUUAGGGAUUGUAAAUAUUUGUUUUGACCUCCAAAUGCACCGGUUCAUAGGUGUGACAACAUGAAUUGGAGGUAUUAAAAAGGACAAGGUAGACUAAAAUUGAUUUUAGAAAAAGGACAAGGUUAGAUCAUAGGAGGGAAGUUGCGUCAAAAAACCUACAACCUCUUAGAACCCAUGUUGACUUGGUGAAGAACAAAAUAUUAUUGAAACAAAGUAUCCAUAUAGGAGAAACCAACGGCUUACGAUUAAAGUAUAUUCGUCGUCGGUACACUUAUAGUAGGUCUACAUGAUUUUUUUUAAUAGGAGCCCUUUAGCUUAGUUAGAGAUUUUAUGAUCGUGUAGGGAUAUGCUUGAUAUUUAGUGAAUCCGUCGUCUUAGAGAACCUCUUUUUUGUUCUAAAAGACAAAAAGAUGAGUAUUAGAAUGAAAUGGAUCAAAAUGCAGCAGGAUAGAUAUUGAUGAUUCAUAUUGCCAAUUCUAGCUAGACAGGAAUAGAGUGAUUGUUGUUGUUCUUAGUUCUUAUAUCUUAAUGCUAAAGUUAAGACUGGCAUCGAAGUAACUUGGGUUGUCGUGAAGUAGCGUAUUGGAGAUGUUGAUUGAGAAAAGUGAAAUUUUG